rnacentral:rRNA from 1 species
GGCUUUAUUUCAACAUUAUAAAAAGGGAAUUGCAAUAUUACAUCUGGCUGACUACAACUAAAAAAUAAAACAAAAUAAGAAAAUUGCACUGAAACUCCACAACUUACAAGUUCAUUUCAAACAGAGUUGCUUUCCCCUCCAAGAAAACAAUCUGUUAACACAAGCAGGAGCAUUGACACUUUCAGAAACCUGAAAAGAGAGGACCUGUCUCCUAGAAUUUUCAAAAGAAGGGAGGAAUUUUACCAUGCCCCCCACGCCCUGAACCUCUAAUUGAAAUCAACCAUAGCCGUUCCCCGGCUGCCUUCCCACGCUCGACCCCGCGAGCUUGCCUGGCCAUUUCUCUAGUGCAUCUUUGUAGCCAUACUAACCUUGCUGUAUCCACCUACAAUUGUAGCCAUGCUGCUGAAUGGAGUGUAGUAGGGCAAGAACAUCAUGUCAAUGUCCAACACGACCGGCACGACCUUGGUGUCCCUGAAAUGUUGAUGUGUGCCCUGCAGGAUCUCCUGCCUGUUGUAGUCAUGCGCCCCACCAUUCUUUAAAAAUUGUGAUAUCUACUGAAAAAUUACAUCUGAUGCACUCUAAUUAGCCAGUAAGAACAUAUGUAAAUUUCUAAAAGCAUAUACCAACUUUUGGAAAUCUACAGUAAGGUGGGAAUAGUUGCUUAAUAGUUUAAUUUUAUGUGAAUUGUAAAUUCAGUAAAGGAAAAUGGAAGAAAAUAUUGUGCAAGUAUAGACUGUACAUUCCUCUAGAUAAAGCAAAGUCUUUGAGCACAACUUCUAAAUGUAUGUGUAUGCUCCAGUUUUUUGAAGCUUCACCUAUAUUUUAUUUUUAUAUAACCAAGACGAGACCAAGACCAUUGUCUUAUCCUUGACAUGCAAGGAGAAUUAAAAAUCCAUGGCCUAUAGCCUAUAAGACCAUAAUCGCAAAACCUCAUAUAAUCAACAUGCACAUUUCCUAAACAUUGCAGCAUAUCACUGUACCUAUAUAUGUAAGGGCCCAAAUUUAGUGUUUCAACCAAGUUUCAAGCCACACGAGUUCCCCCCAAAGAUACUUCCCUUGCUUCCAGUACUGAAGCAUACUGUUCGUAUUGUCUGAAAUCUCAGCUGCAAACAUCAUUGUCAGAAAAAAAAACAAGGCUUCUCGAUACAAGGGGCCAAAUCUAAAACUCAGAACAGAGUAGUAAACAGUAAAUUAACACAAUACCUCUUGUGUUAUGGAAUAGUAAUAUCAACUCGUGUGCAUCUACAGAUCUGGAAUAAUAAAAUUGAGAUCAAUACAUUAAUUCACACUUGAACAAGUUUUAGUUUUAAUCUACAUAGCAAAAAACCACUCGCGCUAUUGGAUAAGCCACAAUAUCGGGGUUCAAUUUGCAAACCUCGCAGAGCACAAAAGUUGUUCGUGCUUGAUCUUACCCACUUGGUUAUGCCCUUGUAACAGGAUGAUUCAGCAUAACCAAUACAAUUCAUCAGAAAAAGGAUUUAAGUGGGUGAGAGGAUCUGCACAAUCCACAAUUAGACAAUAGCUCAAACAUUCUGCAGAGUAACUGAAAGUUUUGGCACAGCAGUACACUCUCCGCCUGUUAAAUAUCUGAACAUUAUCUGGAAAAUAAAUAACACAACGAAGGCAUUGGGAGCGAGAUAGAUGUCACGCACAGAGCCACCUUGCGGAGGAGAUCGGGGCCGAGCUGCCUGCAGGGAGUACGACGGUGGUAGGGGUGGGACUUGAAGAUGAGAACGUCGACAGCAGAGGGCGGCAAUUGAAUGGGCCGUUCCCCAUAGCCACCUGCCUACACAAGCCUCGCGUGCCUCCUGCUCGCACGCACAGCAGUGCGGCCUCCAGCUCCUGCCCGCACACCCGCUUGCUCUACUGUUUAACUGCUCUAGAAGGGCGGCGCCACCACAAUGAAGACGAUGGUUGCGUUAGGAGCGGGAGAAGAGUGUCAGACGUCGGAUGGAGGUUCAUCGAGCAAAAGAGAGUUGGGGUGGGGCGGCGUCGUGUACAACCAGGACCGCAGCCACCACAACCAUGAUGUGAACGAGGAGGGCAACGAUGGUGGGAGGCA